CCUACGGGUAGCAGCAGUGAGGAAUAUUGGUCAAUGGUCGGGAGACUGAACCAGCCAAGCCGCGUGAGGGAGGAAGGUACAGAGUAUCGUAAACCUCUUUUGUCAGGGAACAAAGGCGGGGACGUGUCCCCGGAUGAGUGUACCUGAAGAAAAAGCAUCGGCUAACUCCGUGCCAGCAGCCGCGGUAAUACGGAGGAUGCGAGCGUUAUCCGGAUUUAUUGGGUUAAAAGGGUGCGCGGGCGGUCUGUUAAGUCAGCGGUAAAAGCCCGGGGCUCAACCCCGGCCCGCCGUUGAAACUGGCAGUCUCGAGUUGGAGAGAAGUAUGCGGAAUGCGCGGUGUAGCGGUGAAAUGCAUAGAUAUCGCGCAGAACUCCGAUUGCGAAGGCAGCAUGCCGGCUCCACACUGACGCUGAGGCACGAAAGCGUGGGUAUCGAACAGGAUUAGAUACCCCAGUAGUC
rnacentral:rRNA from 1 species